GAUGAACGCUAGCUACAGGCUUAACACAUGCAAGUCGAGGGGAAACGGCAUUGAGUGCUUGCACUCUUUGGACGUCGACCGGCGCACGGGUGAGUAACGCGUAUCCAACCUUCCCAUUACUGUGGGAUAACCUGCCGAAAGGCAGACUAAUACCGCAUAGUCUUCGAUGACGGCAUCAGAUUUGAAGUAAAGAUUUAUCGGUAAUGGAUGGGGAUGCGUCUGAUUAGCUUGUUGGCGGGGUAACGGCCCACCAAGGCGACGAUCAGUAGGGGUUCUGAGAGGAAGGUCCCCCACAUUGGAACUGAGACACGGUCCAAACUCCUACGGGAGGCAGCAGUGAGGAAUAUUGGUCAAUGGACGGAAGUCUGAACCAGCCAAGUAGCGUGCAGGACGACGGCCCUAUGGGUUGUAAACUGCUUUUGUAUGGGGGUAAAGUUAGGGACGUGUCCCUAUUUGCAGGUACCAUACGAAUAAGGACCGGCUAAUUCCGUGCCAGCAGCCGCGGUAAUACGGAAGGUCCAGGCGUUAUCCGGAUUUAUUGGGUUUAAAGGGAGCGUAGGCUGGAGAUUAAGUGUGUUGUGAAAUGUAGACGCUCAACGUCUGACUUGCAGCGCAUACUGGUUUCCUUGAGUACGCACAACGUUGGCGGAAUUCGUCGUGUAGCGGUGAAAUGCUUAGAUAUGACGAAGAACUCCGAUUGCGAAGGCAGCUGACGGGAGCGCAACUGACGCUUAAGCUCGAAGGUGCGGGUAUCAAACAGG
rnacentral:rRNA from 1 species